GUGCUCACUUUACAGCACAUAUACUAAAAUGGGAACAAUACAGAGAUUAGCAUGGCCUCUGCACAAGAAUGACACCCAAAUUUUUGAAACAUUCUAUAUUUUU
ensembl:snRNA U6 U6 spliceosomal RNA